UCUCCGUUUCAACUUAUCUCAAAAGUGAGGACCUCAACCUAUAUACCAGUUUUUAAAUUGUGUUGAUAGGCCAAAUAAAACCAGAGUUAUGAUAAAUUAUGUCUGCGAUACUUGUUUUCUGCUUAUUUUGAUCACGUUCGGCGCUCGAUCGCGCUGUAUGAGACAGGAAAACAUAGCAUGCAGACAUUAGCGACAGGUCUUACAGGCGGAAAAGGCUUGCCAAAAGAAAAAAAACACACCACAACAUCUCUCCUAUUGGUGGAAAACUUCACCACAACAACCAAUCCAAAAUUAUAUGGUGACUGAUUGACAAGGGGCGGACGCUUACGUUCUUCCUGCAACAUGAGAAGGGAGGGAGGGACUCUCAGCAGGGAUGCAGUCUGGGACACGUAGUUGCAAACCUAGCGACUUUGUUGUUAGAUUCAAUGACUUUUCAGACCCCCUAACGACUUUUUUUUAGAAAGAAAGGGACUUUUAUCGACUUCUUCUGGAGUUUAGAGACUCUGACAUGAAGCAGGCUUUCCUUACUGAGGAGUUAGCAACGCUGCUAAGGGUGCAGAGCCACACAUGCGCUCAGAGCUCUGCAUGGGAGACUGAAGCUGACAGAGCUGCAGCAGUUAGCAGGUUUCACCCUCAGAGACCACCAGGGGUUCAUGUUGAGGCAUUUUAAUUUUUUUUUUUUUGUGCCAUAGACACUGUCAGCACAAUCUGCAGUUACACUAACAAAAAUGCUGCAAAAAACAAAGAAUUAUGGAAAAAUUACACAUGGACUGACAUACAGGAGGAUCUACACAAGUUUUUUACAUCAUGUUUUACAUCAUGCAUCAUUUACAUCAUGUUUUUUUGUAGUGGCAUAAAUAAAAAGUGACAUUUGUGAGACUAUACAGUGUUUUGUAAAUAAUUUUACAAAGAACGCCUGGGCCAUUGCCUGCAUUUUGAUGUAAAUAGAGGUAAAUCACUAUGUUCUUUGUUAAAAAUUUGCAUAUGUUUUGAAGUUUACAAUUUUUAUUUGAAGUUUAAGUUUUAAAAACAGUUCAUCACACAUAUUUGUGGUUUUCACAGUAAAAAUGUUACUUUUUUCCACUCGGAUUUUAUGUUUUGUGUGUGAAUUUGGGUCCAUUGUGUAAAUUCAGUAUGUCAACAUGAUGAAAUAACUGUAAAUUCGCACAGGUGAGGUUGUGCUGAAAAAAAUGAUACCAGGCAAGGCACGUGAUUGUCAAAUUUUGUGUCAAUAUGACAAAGCGUAUAGGCGUGAAUCUCAACAAUAUGUAUUUUCACCUUAGGGGACAAGAAAAAAUGGACUUUUUUCUCCUGCCAUGGGGGGCGCUCUUUUGGGGAGUAAAAAUUCCUUCACAAAUGUGUUGAUGGCUGGACAUUGCAUCAUCCUAGAAAACUUGGAGGCCAGUGAGGACAAAAUUAAAAGUUAUAAGACUUUUAAAUAUGUGGAUUUUAGGGUUAUCUUUGGCGCCCCCUAGAACCUAAACCGUGGGGUGCAGCGUCAUGAUUUUGAUAACUUUUAAUGGCCAUGGGGUGUAGAUUGGCCUGAGCAAAUGUGGUGCCGGUGGAACGAAAGCCUUAGGAGGAGUUAGCCACAUUCCAAUGUGUGCGGAUCGGCAAAAAAUGCGGAAUAACCCUUUAACCGUACAUUUGACAGAUACGCGCGCAUUGACUUUUUCGUAGAUCUUAUUGAGUUACAUGUGUGUGUCAAUUUUUGUGUCAUUUUGACAAAGCGUAUAGGCGUGACACUCAACAAUGUGUAUUUUCACCUUAGGGGACAAGAAAAAAUGGACUUUUUUCUCCUGCCAUGGGGGGCGCUCUUUUGGGGAGUAAAAAUUCCUUCACAAAUGUGUUGAUGGCUGGACAUUGCAUCAUCCUAGAAAACUUGGAGGCCAGUGAGGACAAAAAUAAAAAGUUAUAAGACUUUUAAAUAUGUGGAUUUUAGUGUUAUCUUUGGCGCCCCCUAGAACCUAAACCUUGGGGUGCAGCGUCAUGAUUUUGAUAACUUUUAAUGGCCACGGGGUGUAGAUUGGCCUGAGCAAAUGUGGUGCCGGUGGAACGAAAGCCUUCGGAGGAGUUAGCGAAAUUUCAAUGUGUGCAGAUCGGCAAAAAAUGCGAAAUAACCCUUUAACCGUAAUUUUGACAGAUACGGCCGCACUGACUUUUUUGUAGAUCUUAUUGAGAUACAUGUGUGUGUCAAUUUUUGUGUCAUUUUGACAAAGCGUACAGUCGUGACAGUGAAUAGUGUGAAUUUUCAUCUUAGGGGGCGCUAUGGAGCCAUUUUGCAUUUUAUUGUUUUGGCGACUUCAGAAUAUCAAAUUUUUCACCAGGCCCGGUCGUCCUGCCAAAUUUCAUGAGUUUUCGCCAGUGGGAAGUGGGCCAUUUUCCAGUUCAAAGGGGAGGAAAAAGAAACUAGGACCCCGUUGGGGCACUGGCGGGCCCGAGCCGUGUCGCGUCCCCCCCCCCCCCCCCCCCCCCAACGUGCUGCCUCCCCGUCCCAUUUGUGUCCUCUGGCCAUCGCCCUCUCUGUUAACGCCCAUCACUGCAAAGACCCUUUUCCUUCAUCGGCGUUUGCUGUUCUUCCUGCCAGUGCGUGUUGCUUUCACUUACACUUGCCACAGCCAGCCUCGUGAGUGCCUAGCCUAUUGGAUAUCACUGUCACCUACACAGGACAGUCAUUACCUUUCUAUUAAUACUUUGUGUUUUAAUUUCACAUUAAUUUCCAUAUUGUAUAAACGACUGGAAAAAACUUGAGCCCCUGCCCCUGUAUAAUCAUGUGCAUGUCUCUGUUCUAGCUCCAAGGUGAAUCUUCACUGCUCAUGUUCUCCUCAGAAGCACUCACCUCACUCCCCUCAGGUUACUGUACACAUGCACCAACUGCCUGCUUCAGGUUUGGAUGGAGCUUCAUGGUUGUCUUUUGGAGAAAUGACCAGUCAAGUUGUGUUUGAAAUUUGAUUUUUUUCAGGGGCAAAAGGAGCCUCUGCAUUCUUGUCAAAUAUGUAAAUAGCAUGUUUUUGCAGGUGCUAAAAACCAGACUCUGAGUGUGUGUGUGUGUGUGUGUGUGUGUGUGUGUGUGUGUGUGUGUGUGUGUGUGUGUGUGCGUGUGUGUGUGUCUAUGUGUGCGUUCAAGUCACAUGACAUAUUUAACCGGAUGUAGCUGCAAGACGGAGCCUCGUUGACUCUCCGUUUCAACUUAUCUCAAAAGUGAGGACCUCAACCUAUAUACCAGUUUUUAAAUUGUGUUGAUAGGCCAAAUAAAACCAGAGUUAUGAUAAAUUAUGUCCGCGAUACUUUUUUUCUGCUUAUUUUGAUCACGUUCGGCGCUCGAUCGCGCUGUAUGAGACAGGAAAACAUAGCAUGCAGACAUUAGCGACAGGUCUUACAGGCGGAAAAGGCUUGCCAAAAGAAAAAAAAAACACACCACAACAUCUCUCCUAUUGGUGGAAAACUUCACCACAACAACCAAUCCAAAAUUAUAUGGUGACUGAUUGACAAGGGGCGGGCGCUUACGUUCUUCCUGCAACAU